ACCAAUACUGAAGACAAACAAAACAUAUAUAAGAGAUAGUAGCAAGGGAGACAAGGAGUGAACUAUAUAUUGAUUCUGUAUGGAGAAAUAUGACUCGAGGCAAAUCACCUCAUCACCUCAAAAUUAAUUCCCAAUAAUCAGACCAUUUUGAACUAAUACUCUGUCCUUAAUCCUUUUUCUUAGACAGAAAAGGUAGAAAGGAAAGGUGUUUGCCUUUUUUUUUAAUAAUCAAAAGCAAACAAAGGCUAGUUGUUUUUUUCUUAUUUACUAUUUUUAUCAUUUAAUUUUCUUGUAUCUUUUUUCUUCUUAUUUACUAUUUUGUUUUAGCAAGGAUAUAUAAUGGAAUUUGGAUUGGAAAAUCUGCAGGGAUCAUGAUGAGGCGACCUUUGGUCUUGCAGCUUGACAAGACAAACGAGGGAGCUUAGAAAUACGCCGAGUUUCUUCACCUUUGCAAGAGGAGAUUCACAGAUUUUGGAAUUGAUGUUCAUUUUUUAAGUUACAUAAUUAUUUUUGCCAAAACUUGAAAAGAGAGCUGGCAAUUAGGAGUCAGAAAAUCUGAGGUCAAAUUUAGGAGUUUGCAAGAACUCUCUUUUGUGUUACUGCUGCCAGAUUCAGAGGAUGCAAUUUCAUCUAGUUCUUCCUUUUAAAAAGGGGAGUCUUCCAUUUUAAAUGAGCACAUAGUUGUGCUGUUGCCUGGAGCUAUUUAUGCUCUUUCUGCUGGUUAUAAGGUAUUUGGUGAUCUAUCCUAGUGCUAGCAGGCUAUAAAUUUAUACAUCCAGUUAUCACUACAAAACUAAAACUAGAUAAUUGUUGUUGUAGACGAAAGAACUUGAGCAGGACUCGAUGCACGGGCUUUUUGAAUGCUCCAUUGAUGUACUUGUGAAUAUUGAUCAGGUUUCCUCUGUUAAUGUACUGGGGUUUUGUAUCAUUUCGUUCAAUUUUCUCUUUUGCUUUUCUUUGUGAUUUUUUUUCUUGUUUAUAUUAGAAAUUAUAUCUUUUUUCCUCAUUAGAUGAAUGUUACAUGUAUGUAUAUAUGCAUUGCUGAUUUGGGCCAUCUCAAAUUCCAUGGAUAUGUAGAAGAAGAUAAUUGUGAUCAUAUAGUCUAGUAAAGCAUGCCACCCUGUAUGCACCAGUUUUUUCUGGCUGUAUACUUGAUAUUUCUUUCUGUAUGUAAUGAAUUAGAUGCUAAUUUUUUUAGCAACAAUUAUCUGGUGGGUUAUAGUAGCAAUAUCAAUUUUUAACUUCAGAAUGUUUGAUUAAAAAAGGUAUUUUAAACAAUCACGAGAAAUUCAAGGCAGAUUGGGUACUUUGUGUAUAUUUUUUUUACCAAAUAUGUAUUAUAUUAACUUGAUGUGGAACUAGUCUUUAUGUGUGUCAUAUACUCCCAAGGAUCUCUUUGGCACUACACUACAGAUAUAUAAUACUAGAAGAACCAUAUAUUAUUUAUAUUAGAGGAUCUCUUUGGCACUACACUACAGGCCUGCAAUGACACUAAUCAUUUAUAUUAUCAUGGUUUUUAUUCCAAUCAGUAUAUUGUGCUCUGCAUUUUGUAUAAUAAAGAUAUUUUUUAUACAUUUUUUAUCUAUAAAAGUAAUGCAUGAUAAGAACCAUGAUAAGUUUUAGUUAAUUUAACCAUGUAUAUUUUAAGAAUCAUUUCAUAGUAAUAUCAUAGAACUUAGAUAAUUCAGCCUUCUUUUGGACAGUCCAACCUCUCAUUAUUACUUCUUGAGUAAGAUUUUUUAUUUUUGGUUUCUGUACAGUUUUCCAAUUUGUGGAUUUUGUUUUUUAGAUUUUUUAUUAGUCUUAUGACUUCCAACACUUUGGUUUUGAGGGUACUGCAAGAGUACUGAUAGAGUGGCUAUUAAGCAUGUGAACAAUUGAAUAGUAAUUAGUACUAGACCUUAUAUGCCUAAAUUAGUAUUGCACAUAACGUUCUGCAUACAAGAAACAGAUGGCAGAAAAUGAAAUAGAUUUUCUUUUGCUUGUGGCUGCAACUAAAGUUGAAUGAUUAAGCAUAAAGUAUGAUUGAGUUCUUCUAUAUCAUAUAUAGACCUUUUCUUCAAAAAUCAUAAACUUGACACUAAAGCCAAGAGUUUAGAACACAAACAGGAAACAGAAAUUUAAGACAUACCAGAAACCGUCUCCUCAAAAUUUCAUACUAACAUUAACUUCUUUAAUUUUUCCCCUGCUGUAAGUGUUUUACAUUAGAUUGUGUUGUUUCAUUGGUUCACAUUCUCUCUGUUCUUGUUGUUUCUCCUAAUCUUGCUUGCUGUUUUGAACUUGUGUAUAUUCUUAGUUUGUUAAUUUUCACUAUCUUUAUAAGAAAUUUAACCAAAAGAUCUUAGUUAAACUAGAUUUUUUAUAUUUAGAUUUGAUUUAUACAUGUCUCUAAUGUUUUUUGCAGCCACAUGUUGACUUUGGAUUAAAAGUACUUGGUGCAAAUGCUAUGUCCAUUCCUGGCCUAUAUGGGUUUGUCCAGGAAAUGAUUAAAGAUCAAGUUGCAAACAUGUAUUUAUGGCUUAAAUCUCUAGAAGUACAAAGUAUGGAUCCAACAAAGUAACGAUCUGAGCCCAAGGUAAGGCAUCUAGGACACUUAGCUGGUGGUGCUUUAACCAAUGCAUUGGGUGCUGGAAUAAAAUGGUAAGGAUGGUGGUUGAUGAGAGCUCAGGAGGAUUUGGUUUCACAGGGAAGAAUGAGAUUAUAAAUGGGAAGGCAGCUGUAAUUGGGUUCUUGCUGUUGUUGGAUUUUGAGCUAUUGACUAGUAAAGGACUUGGCAUUUGGUUUAUCACUUUCAGCACUGCUUGGGGAUAAUAUCUACAACUUUGGCGAGCUGCUGGCACAUCCUAUUGAAAUCAAAUCCUUGUUUCCUGCCGAUUGCAGUCCAUUCUAAGC